rnacentral:sRNA from 1 species
GCUGGGCAUGGUGGGGCACGCCUGCAAUCCCAGCUGCUUGGAGGGGCUGAGGCAGGAGGAUCACAAGUUCAAAGCCAGCCUCAGCAGCAGGGAGUGCUAAGUUAACUCAGUGAGACCCUGUCUCUA